ACUCCUACGGGAGGCAGCAGUGGGGAAUCUUGCGCAAUGGGCGAAAGCCUGACGCAGCAACGCCGCGUGGGGGAUGAAGGCCCUCGGGUUGUAAACCCCUUUCAGCAGGGACGAAUCUGACGGUACCUGCAGAAGAAGCCCCGGCCAACUACGUGCCAGCAGCCGCGGUAAUACGUAGGAGGCGAGCGUUAUCCGGAUUUACUGGGCG
rnacentral:rRNA from 1 species